rnacentral:rRNA from 1 species
GUCUAUGGCCAUGCCACCCUGAACGUGCCCGAUCUCGUCUGAUCUCGGAAGCUAAGCAGGGUCAGGCCUGGUUAGUACUUGGAUGGGAGACUAAGGCUUCUGAGAACCAUUCUCGGGAGAAAAGGCC